UACGGAGGGUGCGAGCGUUGUCCGGAAUCAUUGGGCGUAAAGGGCGCGUAGGUGGCCCGGUCAGUUCGUGGUGAAAGCGCGGGGCUCAACUCCGCGUCGGCCAUGAAUACUGCUGGGCUGGAGCACUGUAGAGGCAGGCGGAAUUCCGGGGUGUAGCGGUGGAAUGCGUAGAGAUCCGGAAGAACACCGGUGGCGAAGGCGGCAUCCUGGACCAACACGUGACGCUGAGGAGCGAAAGCCAGGGGAGCGAACAGG
rnacentral:rRNA from 1 species